AUUGAACGCUGGCGGAAUGCUUUACACAUGCAAGUCGAACGGCAGCACGGACUUCGGUCUGGUGGCGAGUGGCGAACGGGUGAGUAAUACAUCGGAACGUGCCCAGUCGUGGGGGAUAACGUAGCGAAAGCUACGCUAAUACCGCAUACGAUCUAAGGAUGAAAGCGGGGGAUCGCAAGACCUCGCGCGAUUGGAGCGGCCGAUGGCAGAUUAGGUAGUUGGUAGGGUAAGGGCCUACCAAGCCGACGAUCUGUAGCUGGUCUGAGAGGAUGAUCAGCCACACUGGGACUGAGACACGGCCCAGACUCCUACGGGAGGCAGCAGUGGGGAAUGUUGGACAAUGGGCGCAAGCCUGAUCCAGCCAUUCCGCGUGCAGGAUGAAGGCCUUCGGGUUGUAAACUGCUUUUGUACAGAACGAAAAGGCUCUGGUUAAUACCCGGGGCUCAUGACGGUACUGUAAGAAUAAGCACCGGCUAACUACGUGCCAGCAGCCGCCGUAA
rnacentral:rRNA from 1 species